AGGACGAACGCUGGCGGCGUGCCUAACACAUGCAAGUCGAACGCGUGUAGCGAUACACGAGUGGCGGACGGGUGAGUAACGCGUGGGAACCUGCCCUGGAGUGUGGGAUAACCGAGGGAAACUUCGGCUAAUACCGCAUACGACCUGAGGGUGAAAGAUUUAUCGCUCUAGGAGGGGCCCGCGUCGGAUUAGCUAGUUGGUGGGGUAAAGGCCUACCAAGGCAGUGAUCCGUAGCUGGUCUGAGAGGAUGAUCAGCCACACUGGGACUGAGACACGGCCCAGACUCCUACGGGAGGCAGCAGUGGGGAAUAUUGGACAAUGGGGGCAACCCUGAUCCAGCAAUGCCGCGUGAGUGAUGAAGGCCUUAGGGUUGUAAAGCUCUUUCGCGCGCGACGAUGAUGACGGUAGCGCGAGAAGAGCCCGGCUAACUCGUGCCAGCAGCCGC
rnacentral:rRNA from 1 species